rnacentral:rRNA from 1 species
GGACCCGCACAAGCGGAGGAUGAUGUGGUUUAAUAUGACGCUACGCGUAGAACCUUACCGAGGCUUGACAUCCUUGGAACCUGCUGGAAACAGUGGGGUGCCGCAAGGAGCCAAGUGACAGGUGCUGCAUGGCCGUCGUCAGCUCGUGUUGUGAAAUGUUGGGUUAAGUCCCGCAACGAGCGCAACCCUUAUCGUAUGUUGUAUUUUUCAUGCGAGACUGCCCGGGCCAACCGGGAGGAAGGUGGGGAUGAAGUCAGGUCGGCAUGGCCCUUACGCCUCGGGCCACACACGUCAUACAAUGGCCGGUACAACGCGCCGCGAAGCCGCGAGGCGGAGCUAAUCGCACCAAAACCGGUCCCAGUUCGGAUUGCAGGCUGCAACUCGCCUGCAUGAAGUCGGAUUCGCUAGUAACCGCAGGUCAGCAUACUGCGGUGAAUACGUUCCCGGGUCUU